AGUAGCAACAGGCGCUCUGAACCCCCAGCCAGGAUCACAAGAGACAAAAUCCUGCCUCCUUCAGGGAACGGGGCAUAGUUCUGGGACAAGAAUGUUCAGCAUGUUUGGUCUUGUGGAUAAAAGCAUGCUGAGGACGACAAGAAGUGUGCAUGGCAGGACUGAGACCAAUACUCAGGUCUGGUCAAAGGAUCUACAUCCCGCACAGGGUGCAGUGAAGACCAAGAUCCACGUUCAGAAAAAAAUACCACUCCUUCACCCUCCGCUCCCACAUGAAGGCUGUAGGAACUCAGGGAAUUGUGGAAGAAGAGAAGAGAAAGAGGAGGGAGGAUGUAUUAGCUUUUUAUUGUUGUUGUAAAAAAUUUUGUGGCUUAAAACCACAAACUUAGUGGCAAGACAAAUUUAUUCUGUUAUAGUUAUAGUGGUCAGAAGUCUAAAAUAAAGUAUUGAUAUGGUUGUAUUCUUUUUGAAAGCUUCAGGAGAAAAUCAGUUUGUCUCUUCCAGUUUCUAGGGGUCACAUGCAUUCUUUGGCUCAUGGGACAUCACUCUAGCUUCUGG
rnacentral:lncRNA from 1 species